rnacentral:rRNA from 1 species
AACGAACGCUGGCGGUAUGCUUAACACAUGCAAGUCGAGCGCCCCGCAAGGGGAGCGGCAGACGGGUGAGUAACGCGUGGGAAUCUACCCAUCUCUACGGAAUAACGCAUGGAAACGUGUGCUAAUACCGUAUACGUCCUUCGGGAGAAAGAUUUAUCGGAGAUGGAUGAGCCCGCGUUGGAUUAGCUAGUUGGUGGGGUAAAGGCCUACCAAGGCGACGAUCCAUAGCUGGUCUGAGAGGAUGAUCAGCCACACUGGGACUGAGACACGGCCCAGACUCCUACGGGAGGCAGCAGUGGGGAAUAUUGGACAAUGGGCGCAAGCCUGAUCCAGCCAUGCCGCGUGAGUGAUGAAGGCCCUAGGGUUGUAAAGCUCUUUCACCGGUGAAGAUAAUGACGGUAACCGGAGAAGAAGCCCCGGCUAACUUCGUGCCAGCAGCCGCAGUAA